rnacentral:rRNA from 1 species
UACGAGGGGGGCGAGCGUUGUUCGGAAUCACUGGGCGUAAAGAGUGCGUAGGCGGUUAUGAAAGUUAGAAGUGAAAGCCCAGGGCUUAACCCUGGAAUUGCUUUUAAAACUACAUAACUCGAAUUCGGGAGAGGAUAGCGGAAUUGUCAGUGUAGCAGUGAAAUGCGUAGAUAUUGACAGGAACAUCAGUGGCGUAAGCGGCUAUCUGGACCGACAUUGACGCUGAGGCACGAAAGCGUGGGGAUCAAAC